UUACUCCUACGGGGGGCAGCAGUGGGGAAUAUUGCACAAUGGGGGAAACCCUGAUGCAGCGACGCCGCGUGAGUGAAGAAGUAUUUCGGUAUGUAAAGCUCUAUCAGCAGGGAAGAAAAUGACGGUACCUGACUAAGAAGCCCCGGCUAACUACGUGCCAGCAGCCGCGGUAAUACGUAGGGGGCAAGCGUUAUCCGGAUUCACUGGGCGUAAAGGGAGCGCAGGCGGCAUGGCAAGUCUGAUGUGAAAACCCGGGGCCCAACCCCGGGAGUGCAUUGGAAACUGCCAGGCUGGAGUGUCGGAGG
rnacentral:rRNA from 1 species